rnacentral:lncRNA from 1 species
ACACCAGCCAGGGCUCAAGAAAUGCUUGUCAGCUGAAUCUGCAGAGCCACGGAAAUCACGGCUUUAUGAGAGGAGAGGCAUAGCGAUGUCAAUCAACUUGUUGAAGGUCACCCGCAUACAGCUGAGUAUGGUAUUGGAGAUUUGAACCCAGACUCCUCUGUAACUAUUGUGUGUCCCGCCAGGAAGCCUGCCAGCGUCUCACCCGCAUAAAGAAACCGGUGGAAGAUGAGCUGCAUACACCUAUUUGCCAUGAACGUUUGCAUUCUCGGGGAAGAGGACCUGGGUCCUUCCACGACCCAUCCCUAACAGGCUCUCCCUGCAGUUUGGGGGAAGUUGACUGAUGAGAACUGUGUAGGAUUCGCCAACACCAGGGGCAGGAAAGUUUGUCCUUGAUUAGUAAUGAUCAACCUUAACAUUCACUAGGUUAAAUAUUUGACUUUGCAUCCUGUGAUGCCAAAAGAAGUGCCCCCUUAGUCCUGAGAAAGAAGACAGGUGAAAAAUGAGGCUUUCCCUUUUAGGUCAAAGCAGGGGUUGCUAAUCCCUGGACUCAUCCCAGCAUUGUUGAGGAUUCUGGAAACAUCAGCAGGACUCGGCUCUUAGAGGAGAGGUCAUUUGGGAAAUCAUCA